CGACCGGCGCACGGGUGAGUAACGCGUAUGCAACUUACCUAUCAGGAGGGGAUAGCCCGGCGAAAGUCGGAUUAAUACCCCAUAAAACAGGGGUCCCGCAUGGGAAUAUUUGUUAAAGAUUCAUCGCUGAUAGAUAGGCAUGCGUUUCAUUAGGCAGUUGGCGGGGUAACGGCCCACCAAACCGACGAUGGAUAGGGGUUCUGAGAGGAAGGUCCCCCACAUUGGUACUGAGACACGGACCAA
rnacentral:rRNA from 1 species